rnacentral:rRNA from 1 species
AACGAACGCUGGCGGCAGGCCUAACACAUGCAAGUCGAACGCUGUAGCAAUACAGAGUGGCAGACGGGUGAGUAACGCGUGGGAACAUGCCCUUCGGUUCGGAAUAACUCAGGGAAACUUGAGCUAAUACCGGAUACGCCCUUAGGGGGAAAGAUUUAUUGCCGAAGGAUUGGCCCGCGUCCGAUUAGCUAGUUGGUGAGGUAAUGGCUCACCAAGGCGACGAUCGGUAGCUGGUCUGAGAGGAUGAUCAGCCAGACUGGGACUGAGACACGGCCCAGACUCCUACGGGAGGCAGCAUUGGGGAAUAUUGGACAAUGGGCGCAAGCCUGAUCCAGCCAUGCCGCGUGAGUGAUGAAGGCCCUAGGGUUGUAAAGCUCUUUCGCCAGGGACGAUAAUGACGGUACCUGGAUAAGAAGCCCCGGCUAACUUCGUGCCAGCAGCCGCGGUAA